rnacentral:rRNA from 1 species
UCAGAUUGCAGUCUGCAACUCGACUGCAUGAAGUCGGAAUCGCUAGUAAUCGCGGAUCAGCAUGCCGCGGUGAAUACGUUCCCGGGCCUCGUACACACCGCCCGUCACACCAUGAGAGUCGGGAACACCCGAAGUCCGUAGCCUAACCGCAAGGGGGGCGCGGCCGAAGGUGGGUUCGAUAAUUGGGGUGAAGUCGUAACAAGGUAGC